CCCCUAAAUGUUCUGGGCCGCACGCGCGCUACACUGAACAGUUCAACAAGUCUUAACCUUGGCCGAUAGGUCUGGGUAAUCUUUGAACGCUGUUCGUGAUUGGGAUAGACCUUUGCAAUUAUGGGUCUUCAACGAGGAAUUCCUAGUAAACGCAAGUCAUCAGCUUGCAUUGAUUACGUCCCUGCCCUUUGUACACACCGCCCGUCGCACCUACCGAUUGAAUGGUCCGGUGAAAUCUCGGGACGGCGGCUUGGUCGCUUGCGUCCGACUGCUGAAACUUGAUUAAACCAUNUNAUUUAGNGGAAGGUGAANUCGUANCA
rnacentral:rRNA from 1 species